GAGUUUGAUCUUGGCUCAGAUUGAACGCUGGCGGCAUGCCUUACACAUGCAAGUCGAACGGCAGCACGGGAGCUUGCUCCUGGUGGCGAGUGGCGAACGGGUGAGUAAUAUAUCGGAACGUACCCUAGAGUGGGGAUAACGCAGCGAAAGUUGCGCUAAUACCGCAUACGAUCUACGGAUGAAAGUGGGGGAUCGCAAGACCUCAUGCUCAUGGAGCGGCCGAUAUCUGAUUAGCUAGUUGGUGGGUAAAGGCCUACCAAGGCAUCGAUCAGUAGCUGGUCUGAGAGGACGACCAGCCACACUGGAACUGAGACACGGUCCAGACUCCUACGGGAGGCAGCAGUGGGGAAUUUUGGACAAUGGGGCACCCUGAUCCAGCAAUGCCGCGUGAGUGAAGAAGGCC
rnacentral:rRNA from 1 species